AUUUACCAUUGGGAGACUGUGGCCGCUAGUUGUGGUUUCUCAGUGACCAAUAUGAAGAAGGGAGGACCCAAGAAGGAGGGCGGAGACACCGAGCCAGCCGGCUCCCCGUCCAAGGAGGACAAGAAGCCUGCCAAGGAGGCCGCCCCCAAGAAGGAGGCCGCCACGAAAGAAAAGGGCGGCAAAAGAGGUGGCAAGAAGUGACCUUUGACAAAGUUUGUCAACAAGAGCUUGCUUCAUGUCAAAUUCCACUCUUCAAGGCACCUCAAGGCACCUUCAAGGCACCUGUUAAGAUGGAGAAUAACGCUUUCACCAUUCCAUGUCAACAAAGGCUGAAGAACAGGCGGAACUGCUUUGCUGGGCACGCCAAGGAGAGGGCAUUGUGAGCGUAAUACGGAUUGCCCGGGCUCUGAAGGACCAACAGGCCGUUUGGACCGUUGGUUUAAAGUCUGUCCGCGGAAGUGUUCCAACAUGAUGUAUGUACUCACCGAGUAUACCGUGAUACGAAUAA